rnacentral:rRNA from 1 species
UACGGGGGGGGUAAGCGUUGUUCGGAAUUACUGGGCGUAAAGGGCUCGUAGGCGGCCAACUAAGUCAGACGUGAAAUCCCUCGGCUUAACCGGGGAACUGCAUCUGAUACUGGAUGGCUUGAGUUCGGGAGAGGGAAGCGGAAUUCCGGGUGUAGCGGUGAAAUGCGUAGAUAUCCGGAGGAACACCGGUGGCGAAGGCGGCUUCCUGGACCGACACUGACGCUGAGGCGCGAAAGCUAGGGGAGCAAACGGG